GUGUUGAGUUGUAAACGCAACUAACUGAGACCAGACCAGCGCAGUCGGUUAAGUGAAAGGGCAGUGACCUCGACUAGCAGAGCAGGCAACUAGCGUUUGGGGGUGCGAGAGUACAUGAAUGUGAGGUGAGCAGAAAGGGGCUUCACACUCAGACUGAGGAAGGAGCAAAAAUAGUUUCCAAAUCAGGAGGUAUGAACAGUCAGUCAUGUUCACCAAAGCCGAAGAAGAACCAAAGGGAAGCCAAAUCAAAUACUCUUAUCAAUACAUUAAACCAAGCCUCAUCCUUCACCACAGAGAAAGAGCUAGCUGAAGAGCCUCGCCCAUGAACACCAUCCUACCGCAAACCAGUGGAAACACUUUAUUGCUCUCAAGGGGGUUGUCAACUCUUCCUGGUAAGGAAAAAGUGGCAACCCUCUUAUGUGAGUUGAAGCUAACAAACUCGGCAAGACUUAAAACUCUAAACACCCUCCUAAGGGGAAGCCAAAACAAAUGAUAGUGAAUAACAAGCAGUUCCCUCUGUUCCUGGGCAUUUCUCACAAGGUGACCUAAACCAGGAACUCCAUAUCAUCAUAAAAGAGAAGAAGGUGCAAGAGUCCAAUCACAGCCAAGAAUUGAGACUACUGUACUAGCACAGACAUUUCAGAGAAGAUUACUGAACUUUCUGGAGGUCAUUCCAUGCUGAACUAGAAUGAAAGUUCUCUAGUUCCUACCUUCCUCCAUACAUGGCCUGGCUGGCAUGCACUUAGAAGGUCCUCACUAUCAGAAAGUGAAGGACCUGACAAGGAAGUGAAGGCUGGACUGACUUGGCAGGUCCAUGUGAGAGUGGGGCAUUGCCUAAGAGAAUAACCAAGUUCAUUAAUCUUGAUCAACACUUGCAAUUAAAUUAAGAAGAAAGACUUUUGAUUAUACAAAGAAUUGUUUUGACAUUAGAUUUGUGCUUAAAACAAUAAUGCUUGAUUUAACCUUUUCCAAAAAGAACUAACUGUUUGGUUUAUGUCAAUAAAAGUAAAUAAUGAUGGAUAAGAUUAUGAAUAAAGACUAGUUAAUGUAAAUGUUUUAGCUAAAAAACUGAUUAAUCUGUUUGUUUAUUUUCAGGUUAAAAACAAGAAUUACUAAAGGCUUCAGUUUAAGUGUAAUAUUGUAAGACACUAUAAAGAGCUCAUAAAGCCAUCUACAAAUAAGAUUUAAUCUUAUUUUUAGUGUUUCUCUUUAAUGUACUGCUGUUAGCCAUUUGUGCUCUCUUCAAUCAUAAUAAUAUCUAAUAGUCUAAAUACUCUACAGCAAGUACUGCAACCAUGACGACUAACGUCUCAUGGUGGGAGGUGAGCACUGGGAGACGGUACUGCACAAUACUCAUGGUGGGAGGACACUGGGAGAUGGUACUGCACAAUACUCAUGGUGGGAGGACACUGGGUGAUGGAACUGUACAACACUCAUGGUGGGAGGACACUGGGUGAUGGUACUGUACAAUACUCAUGGUGGGAGGAGGACACUGGGUGAUGGUACUGCACAAUACUCAUGGGAGGAGGACACUGGGUGAUGAUACUGCACAAUACUCAUGGUGGGAGGAGGACACUGGGUGAUGGUACUGCACAAUACUCAUGGUGGGAGGACACUGGGUGAUGGUACAGCACAAUACUCAUGGUGGGAGGAGGACACUGGGUGAUGGUACUGCACAAUACUCAUGGGAGGAGGACACUGGGAGAUGGUACUGCACAAUACUCAUUGUGGGAGGAGGACACUGGGUGAUGGUACUGCACAAUACUCAUGGUGGGAGGAGGACACUGGGAGAUGGUACUGCACAAUACUCAUGGUGGGAGGAGAACACUGCAUUAUAGUUCUGAUCAAUACAUCAUUAUUUUGUGUAAUUCAUGCAUAAAAUUGAUAUUUGCUUCAAUGAACAUGUACACUAAACAUGCUAGAUUGCCAUGCUUGUUUUCCACACAGGCAUUUAACAUGCACAUUACUGAGUACAGUUACUAUUAAUACAUGAAAUAUCCGUUUUGAGUAAAUGGAUAAGGAAUAUUGACGAGAAAAUACAAAACCCUAAAUUUCUAAUUUAUUUCCCAUGCAUGCAUGCAAAAAUUAUUCUACAGUUUGUCAAUAUUAGGAAAGGAUUUAGGCCUAUGAGCCACUGCUAGAACCAAAGGUUAUUCACUUUAAAGUAAAUCAAAUUAUAAUUAAUAAUAAACUGUAAUAUGCAAACAAUAGCAACACUAAUCAAAACAAAGUUUCUUUGUGAUGUUUGUUCACAUGUAAAUCAACCUGUUCUCUGCAUAGUUUGUGUCGUGUAAAGUCAUCUAGGAUAAAGAAGACAAUUAUAUUCACAUCCAACCUGGAGUAAUCUACUGUCUACUUCGAGUCUCGGAUCAGCAAGUCGUCUUGGCUCUUUCAUAGCGACAUUAUAUUUUCACUUUGUUUACUACACAUGAUAGAAACUGAAGUAAAAAUUAGUUUUGCUUUUAUAUUAAGAAAAACUCUUGCUCUUUCCAUUAUUUCAUACAAUUAAAAAUACUUUUUCAUAGUUAAAAAAAUUGUUUUUUCUUAGGACUACUGUACUGUACUUUAUUAAAAUUACUGUUCAAGUACUGUACUGUAAUUCAAUGCCAGGUCAUAAGUACCCCCAAUGCAUAUAAUAUUAUCAUAAAACUAAUAACAUUAACUAAAUAAUUGUAUUAAUAUUAAUUUCUAAUUACUGUACAGUCAAAAACUGUUUACCUAGAUUUUAUAACAAGAAAAAUAAUAGUCAUAUUUACCAAUAUUCAUUAUACAGCACUAUUGUAAAUAAUGGUGACCGAGGUUUGAUCAAGAAAAAUAAACAUUUACACGCAAAUACAUUUUUGUUAAUGACCAUCGAGCUUGUAAGUCAAUUUUUAUGUAUUUCACAUUAUACAAUGUAUAAAGCAACUUAACAUACCUUAUGCACAAUAAAUUAUAGACAGAUGCGAGGUGGUGGUGUGUGGGAGCUGUUCUUGGCUCUCUCUGAACUACUUGCUCAAUAGGGCAAUGCUUGCUUCUGAAGCCAACAGAUAACAUGUAUUGGAUCCAAACUCCUGCUUUGAACAUCAGCCAUUUGAUCAAACUGUAUAAGGAGUAAAAUCCCCCUUUCCCUCCCCCCUCAAGGCACUUGGCAAAAUUGUAAUUAUGAAGGGUCACUGAUAAUUAUUUUCAUUGGGUCAUAACAGUGUGAUCAGUCCAGUGAAAUGGCUACAAAAACUAUUUCUAUGACUUCAGCCUACCCAACUUUAAACAAAAUUAUUAUUCUGAAGUUAAUACAAGGAUCCCACUGUAAGAUGGCAUCUAUUCCCUGCUACUGUUGAAAGAAAAGAUUGACUAGGCAUCUCUUAACUCUCCUCUGUUCCUUAUCUAAUAGUGCAAAACAAGUGCGCCAAUAAGAAGUGUUCACCUUAAUACUCUUCCAUCACUGCUAUAGAGAAUACAAAUGCUCCAGCUCACCUUAGAAGCAAUAUAAAGAAUUUGAACAAUAUAGAGAAUUUAAAAGAUUAUAUUGCUUCUCAUUCCUGUUAAAUACUAUAUAACAUUUAUAUAAAAUAUAAUGCUACCUCUUUGUCAUAUUUUGUAUGACAUUUAACUAUAAAACUAUUUAUUUGGUCACAACUUGUUGACCGUUAAUUAUGAGUGGCUGGGCGCAUUUGUUCUCUACCAUGUAAUCUGCUAAAUAUAUUACUGUGCAUAUCAUAACUGUUUGAUUUGAACAACAAUAAUACUGUGUUAUGCAUGACUUCUCAGUCAGUAAAAAUAAUGAGCUUUUGUUGAGCUUUAUAGAGUAUGCUAAUAAGAAUGAAAAAUUAGUUCUUAUGAGCAAUACAGUAAAGUCUUCUACUACAACAAUUGUUUCAAGAUACACACACAAAUAUAUAUAAAAAUGAAUACUGUAAUUAGACCAGUAUGUGAAGACAUGCUGAGAAUUUAAUAUUACAUUCAAUAUUUAAGGCUACAGUAAAACUCCAAAAAUUAAGAUUUGGAAAGAUGACUGAAGAAUUCGUGUUCCCAACACUUGGAACAUUAAUAUCCUGAACAAAAUGUGUAAUAAAUAAAUUAAAUAA